GACGAACGCUGGCGGCGUGCCUAAUACAUGCAAGUAGAACGCUGAAGGAGGAGCUUGCUCUUCUGGAUGAGUUGCGAACGGGUGAGUAACGCGUAGGUAACCUGCCUGGUAGCGGGGGAUAACUAUUGGAAACGAUAGCUAAUACCGCAUAAGAGUAGAUGUUGCAUGACAUUUACUUAAAAGGUGCAAUUGCAUCACUACCAGAUGGACCUGCGUUGUAUUAGCUAGUUGGUGGGGUAACGGCUUACCAAGGCGACGAUACAUAGCCGACCUGAGAGGGUGAUCGGCCACACUGGGGCUGAGACACGGCCCAGACUCCUACGGGAGGCAGCAGUAGGGAAUCUUCGGCAAUGGACGGAAGUCUGACCGAGCAACGCCGCGUGAGUGAAGAAGGUUUUCGGAUCGUAAAGCUCUGUUGUAAGAGAAGAACGAGUGUGAGAGUGGAAAGUUCACACUGUGACGGUAUCUUACCAGAAAGGGACGGCUAACUACGUG
rnacentral:rRNA from 1 species